rnacentral:tRNA from 1 species
UCCCUGGUGGUCCAGUGGUUAAGACUCUGUUCUCCCAAAGCAGGGGCCCCGGGUUCAUUCCCUGGUCAGGGAA